rnacentral:rRNA from 1 species
GACGAACGCUGGCGGCGUGCUUAACACAUGCAAGUCGAGCGGAAAGGCCACUUCGGUGGUACUCGAGCGGCGACCGGGUGAGUAACACGUGAGUAAUCUGCCCCUGGCUUUGGGAUAGCCACCGGAAACGGUGAUUAAUACCGGAUAUGACACAUUCUCGCAUGAGUUUGUGUGGAAAGUUUUUCGGCCAGGGAUGUGCUCGCGGCCUAUCAGCUUGAUGGUGAGGUAAUGGCUCACCAUGGCUUCGACGGGUAGCCGGCCUGAGAGGGUGACCGGUCACACUGGGACUGAGACACGGCCCAGACUCCUACGGGAGGCAGCAGUGGGGAAUAUUGGACAAUGGGCGGAAGCCUGAUCCAGCAACGCCGCGUGAGGGAUGACGGCCUUCGGGUUGUAAACCUCUUUCAGUACCGACGAAGCGCAAGUGACGGUAGGUACAGAAGAAGCACCGGCCAACUACGUG